GACGAACGCUGGCGGCGUGCCUAACACAUGCAAGUCGAGCGAGGGACUUCGGUCCCUAGCGGCGGACGGGUGAGUAACACGUGGGUAACCUGCCUCAUAGAGGGGGAUAGCCUCCCGAAAGGGAGAUUAAUACCGCAUAACAUCAUGCUAACGCAUGUUAGUGUGAUCAAAGGAGCAAUCCGCUAUGAGAUGGACCCGCGGCGCAUUAGCUAGUUGGUGAGGUAACGGCUCACCAAGGCGACGAUGCGUAGCCGACCUGAGAGGGUGAUCGGCCACAUUGGAACUGAGACACGGUCCAGACUCCUACGGGAGGCAGCAGUGGGGAAUAUUGCACAAUGGGCGAAAGCCUGAUGCAGCAACGCCGCGUGAGUGAAGAAGGCCUUCGGGUUGUAAAGCUCUGUCUUUUGGGACGAUAAUGACGGUACCAAAGGAGGAAGCCACGGCUAACUACGUGCCAGCCGCCGCAGUAAAAC
rnacentral:rRNA from 1 species